GACGAACGCUGGCGGCGUGUCUAAUACAUGCAAGUCGAACGCAGUGGGGACGGGUGAGUAACACGUGGGUAACCUCCCAUCAGAGGGGAUAACACUUGGAAACAGGUGCUAAACCGAUACUGAUGGAUGGACCCGCGGUGCAUUAGCUAGAUGGUGAGGUAACGGCUCACCAAGGCUACGAUGCAUAGCCGAGCGGAGGGGGGGAACGGACACACUGGGACUGGGACGCGGCCCAGACUCCUGCGGUAGGCAGCAGGAGGUAAUCUUCGGCAAUGGAAGAGAGUCUGACCGAGCAACGCCGCGUGAGGGAAGAGGGUUUACGGAUCGUAAAACUCUGUUGUUAGAGGAGCGGUAUCUAACCAGAAAGCCACGGCUAACUACGUGCCAGCAGCCGCGGUAAUUC
rnacentral:rRNA from 1 species